rnacentral:lncRNA from 1 species
UUGUUCUUCUCGUAGUGAGUUUUUUAAAUUAUAUAAACUAUCACAUGUACUUUUAUCUAAAUUUUCUAAGGUUUUUUCUAUCCAUAUUAAUUUUUCUUUUAGAUUUUCCAUUAUUUUUCUAAUUCGGUUUCUAUAACUAAUUUCAUUAUUUAGAUUUUCUUGAUUUUCUCUAGUUUGUCUAAUAUAUUCUAACAUUUUUUAAUCUGAAUAAUAUCCUUCUGGGUAAAUUUCUUCGUAUAACUGUUCUAGACAAUUU